rnacentral:rRNA from 1 species
GACGAACGCUGGCGGCGUGCCUAAUACAUGCAAGUAGAACGCUGAAGUGAGGAGCUUGCUCUUCUUGGAUGAGUUGCGAACGGGUGAGUAACGCGUAGGUAACCUGCCUUGUAGCGGGGGAUAACUAUUGGAAACGAUAGCUAAUACCGCAUAACAAUGGAUGACACAUGUCAUUUAUUUGAAAGGGGCAAUUGCUCCACUACAAGAUGGACCUGCGUUGUAUUAGCUAGUAGGUGAGGUAAUGGCUCACCUAGGCGACGAUACAUAGCCGACCUGAGAGGGUGAUCGGCCACACUGGGACUGAGACACGGCCCAGACUCCUACGGGAGGCAGCAGUAGGGAAUCUUCGGCAAUGGGGGCAACCCUGACCGAGCAACGCCGCGUGAGUGAAGAAGGUUGUCGGAUCGUAAAGCUCUGUUGUAAGUCAAGAACGGGUGUGAGAGUGGAAAGUUCACACUGUGACGGUAGCUUACCAGAAAGGGACGGCUAACUACGUG